rnacentral:rRNA from 1 species
AGGACGAACGCUGGCGGCGUGCUUAACACAUGCAAGUCACGGGGGCCCGCAAGGGCAACCGGCGAACGGGUGCGUAACACGUGAGCAAUCUGCCGAUUUCCGGGGGAUAGCCGGCCCAACGGCCGGGUAAUACCGCAUACGCUCAUUAAGGGGAGUCCCUUGAUGAGGAAACUUCCGGGGGAAAUCGAGGAGCUCGCGACCUAUCAGCUAGUUGGCGGGGUAACGGCUCACCAAGGCGACGACGGGUAGCUGGU